rnacentral:lncRNA from 1 species
AAUACAUGGUUAUGACUCAUAGUCACGCUUAUAUAAAGGUGAAAGCUAGAAACAUCAUUAGUUAGUAUGAUACAAGAUGCAAAAAACUUUUAGAUAAGCAUCAACAAUUGAGAUGAACAUGGGUCUUGUUUCAGUGUGAUGCUUUAGUGUGUAGGUUUACCUAUUCACUAGUUGGUGGAGCCUUUUGGCUGAAUUGAAC